UGUUUACUAAUCACGUUACGUGCCGACUUGGUUGAUCCCAAUCCUAGAUUCCUAAUGCACAAAGCGUGUGGGUACCUCCUUUCUGCCUUUCUGGAAAUAUUCUGCAAUUUAUACAGAAUUUUAUUUUAUUUUAAUUUAAUAAAAAACACAAAAUAACUCCCAAAUCGAUCGAGAUCGGAAUCGGCGGAGUUUCAGCGAGAGAAGAAAAAGGGGCGAGAGAUGUCGUACGCGUAUUUGUUCAAGUAUAUCAUAAUUGGAGAUACCGGUGAGUAUCGAUUCUUCCGAUCCAUCUGUGGAUCUAAUCCUCGAUCUUCUUCUUUUUCUUGCGAUCCCUGAGUUAAUUGAUUGGCGAAUCUGUGAUGGUGAUGUUUACUUGUUUAUUUUGUGGAAUGAAUUAUUGC
rnacentral:lncRNA from 1 species